rnacentral:rRNA from 1 species
GAUGAACGCUGGCGGCGUGCCUAAUACAUGCAAGUCGAGCGAACAGAUAAGGAGCUUGCUCCUUUGACGUUAGCGGCGGACGGGUGAGUAACACGUGGGUAACUUACCUAUAAGACUGGAAUAACUCCGGGAAACCGGGGCUAAUGCCGGAUAACAUGUUGAACCGCAUGGUUCUACAGUGAAAGGCGGCUUUGCUGUCACUUAUAGAUGGACCCGCGCCGUAUUAGCUAGUUGGUGAGGUGACGGCUCACCAAGGCAACGAUACGUAGCCGACCUGAGAGGGUGAUCGGCCACACUGGAACUGAGACACGGUCCAGACUCCUACGGGAGGCAGCAGUAGGGAAUCUUCCGCAAAGGGCGAAAGCCUGACGGAGCAACGCCGCGUGAGUGAUGAAGGUCUUCGGAUCGUAAAACUCUGUUAUUAGGGAAGAACAAAUGCGUAAGUAACUGUGCGCGUCUUGACGGUACCUAAUCAGAAAGCCACGGCUAACUACGUG